rnacentral:rRNA from 1 species
UACGUAGGGUGCAAGCGUUAAUCGGAAUUACUGGGCGUAAAGCGUGCGCAGGCGGUGAUGUAAGACAGGUGUGAAAUCCCCCGGGCUUAACCUGGGAACUGCAUUUGUGACUGCAUCGCUGGAGUGCGGCAGAGGGGGAUGGAAUUCCGCGUAUAGCAGUGAAAUGCGUAGAUAUCAUUUGGAACGCCAAUGGUGAAAACAGCUCGCUGGGGGUUUGCUGACGCUGAGACACGAAAGCCAGGGGAGCAAAGCGGGG